GCUUGUCUCAAAGAUUAAGCCAUGCAUGUCUAAGUACAAGCCUCAGUAAGGUGAAACCGCGAAUGGCUCAUUAAAUCACACCUAAUCUACUGGAAAGUUACUAGUUACUUGGAUAACUGAGGUAAUUCUUGAGCUAAUACAUGCGAAAAAUCUCGACUCACGGAGAGAUGCUUUUAUUAGAUCAAAACCAAACGGCUUCGGCCGUCUCAUUGGUGACUCUGAAUAACUUUGCGAAUCGCAUGGCCUUGUGCCGGCGAUGAAUCAAUCAAAUUUCUGCCCUAUCAACUUUCGAUGGUACGGUAUUGGCCUACCAUGGUUACAACGGGUAACGGGGAAUUAGGGUUCGGUUCCGGAGAGGGAGCCUGAGAAAUGGCUACCACAUCCAAGGAAGGCAGCAGG
rnacentral:rRNA from 1 species